UACGUAGGGGGCAAGCGUUGUCCGGAAUCAUUGGGCGUAAAGAGCGCGUAGGCGGCCCUGUAAGUCCGCUGUGAAAGUCAAGGGCUCAACCCUUGGAUGCCGGUGGAUACUGCAGGGCUAGAGUCCGGAAGAGGCGAGUGGAAUUCCUGGUGUAGCGGUGAAAUGCGCAGAUAUCAGGAGGAACACCAAUGGCGAAGGCAGCUCGCUGGGACGUUACUGACGCUGAGACGCGAAAGCGUGGGGAGCAAACAGG
rnacentral:rRNA from 1 species